CUAGCAUAUCAAUAAGCGGAGGAAAAGAAACCAACAGGGAUUGCCCUAGUAACGGCGAGUGAAGCGGCAACAGCUCAAAUUUGAAAUCUGGCUCCUUUGGGGUCCGAGUUGUAAUUUGUAGAGGGUGCUUUGGCGUUGGCUGUGGUCUAAGUUCCUUGGGACAGGACGUCACAGAGGGUGAGAAUCCCGUACGUGGCCGCCAGCCUCCGCCUUGUAAAGCCCCUUCGACGAGUCGAGUUGUUUGGGAAUGCAGCUCUAAAUGGGAGGUAAAUUUCUUCUAAAGCUAAAUAUCUGCCAGAGACCGAUAGCGCACAAGUAGAGUGAUCGAAAGAUGAAAAGCACUUUGGAAAGAGAGUCAAACAGCACGUGAAAUUGUUGAAAGGGAAGCGCUUGCAGCUAGACGUGCCUUGGGUUGAUCAGCCGGGCUUUUUGCCCGGUGCACUCUUCCCCUGGCAGGCCAGCAUCGGUUUGGGCGGCUGGAUAAAGGUCUGUUAAACGUGACUCCCUUCGGGGAGAGCUUAUAGGGCAGACGACAUGCAGCCAGUCCGAACCGAGGUCCGCGCAUCUGCUAGGAUGCUGGCGUAAUAGCUGUAAGCGGCCCGUCUUGAAACACGGACCAAGGAGUCUAACAUCUAUGCGAGUGUUUGGGUGUCAAGCCCGAGCGCGCAAUGAAAGUAAACGGAGGUGGGAACCCUUUGGGUGCACCAUCGACCGAUCUUGACGUCUUCUGAUGGAUUUGAGUAAGAGCAUAGCUGUUGGGACCCGAAAGAUGGUGAACUAUGCCUGAAUAGGGUGAAGCCAGAGGAAACUCUGGUGGAGGCUCGCAGCGGUUCUGACGUGCAAAUCGAUCGUCAAAUUUGGGCAUAGGGGCGAAAGACUAAUCGAACUAUCUAGUAGCUGGUUCCUGCCGAGU
rnacentral:rRNA from 2 species